UGAAACGCACACCUCCACCCUGCUGCUGGCUUGCAUCACACCUGAGAUCAGACAAACAGAUGGAGGGGCCUAUUGACUAACCUCACACCUGUCUGCUGAGCCCCACUGCCUGUCUUUGGGCUGGGUGAGCCCCAUGGUGUGGCAGGAGGGCACCUGGAGCCAGGCACACUGUGCCAGGGCCUCGUGGCCGUGAUUUGGGCCACAUGUAGCAGUGAGGAGCAACUCUCUGGAGAGCGAUGGUGUAGAAUAAAAGCGUGUGGGUGGCUGGGGGUGUUAAUGCUGGCAGUAAUUCCCAGCUCUGUGACAACGAACCACUGAUUGCAUCGCACACGCUGGGCUGGAUCCGGCACUGCUCCUCUUGCUGGAAACAACUGACGAAAGCAAUGGGAAUUGCUAUCUGAGAUCACGAUUGUGGGAUCAGGGACGUGAUGACACUCUGCUUUUCUUAUCAUGUUCUCUCUGCCUCUUUCCACUACCUGAAAAGUUCCACCCUGGGCUCACAAAGAGUACAAAGCAGACCUGAGAGCUGCUCAAGCAUCCUUUAUGCCAGCUGCUGGUCAGUGCUUAGCUGGAGGUGCAACCACAGCUGUGCUGGGCUUUCUGUUUGCCUUCAGUGCACAAGCGUAGUUUCUCCUACUCAGUAGAGGAGAGCUGAGUACCCUCCCUCUGGCCAUUUCAUUCAAGGGAGGUAAAGAGAAGCUGAGGAGUGUGGUUUGUGUGGAACUGGAGCUGUGUUUCUGAGGCUGUUUUAACAGCUGUCAGUCUCAAGUGUGCUGAAGCCACAGCAGAUAAAGUAAAUCAAAUUUCUUCCUUUUUUUUCUGUGUUGUCUGAGUAUCCAGCUCUGCAGGGGACAAGGAGAUUGGGGAACCAAGAGAUACAGAGCCAUUCUUGAACUUUCUUCUAAGCGCAUGGAAGAGAAAAAAAAGUCUGAUGAGUGGAAAGAGAGAAUUCCCAUAUCUUCACGUGUUUGCUGUGCAGCAGUGGGGCUGAAGGCAUAAGUGGAGCUAUUAGCAUUGUACAGUAAGGAAAUAUCAACACAAAUGCUGUGGCUAAUUGGCUUCAUCUCCCACUGACCUACGCUUGCUGGAGAGCUAAUGCAAUGGUAUCUGACACAACAGCAAUGCACUGUCUCGUAAUCCUAUGUGUCAGGGCCAAAACUGGUGUCAGCCAUCCCUCUGGUUUGUCUCACACGGAUGCCUGGACUUGAGCAGGGGAAGCACUUGCAGCAGAGUCCUUACUGAGCACUCAUCACAAGGCUGGGCUUCUGGCUCUGUGGGCACAUCCUCCUGCAGAGAACCCCGUAUGUCAGAUCACCUCCUGCUCCCCUGCCCAUGUCUGUGUGGCCGGCAGUGUGACAGACUCUGGGGCUUCUCCUUCUUCUCA
ensembl:lncRNA